CACGUAGUUAGCCGGUGCUUUUCUGCAGGUACCGUCAAGCCGAAGCCCUUCUUCCCUACUAAAAGAGGUUUACAACCCGAAGGCCGUCAUCCCCCACGCGGCGUUGCUGCAUCAGGCUUUCGCCCAUUGUGCAAUAUUCCCCACUGCUGCCUCCCGUAGGAGUCUGGGCCGUGUCUCAGUCCCAGUGUGGCCGGUCACCCUCUCAGGCCGGCUACCCGUCGUCGCCUUGGUGAGCCAUUACCUCACCAACUAGCUGAUAGGCCGCGAGUCCAUCCUUGACCGAAAACUUUCCACCCGCACCCGAUGCCGGGGCAGGUCGUAUCCGGUAUUAGACGCCGUUUCCAGCGCUUAUCCCAGAGUCAAGGGCAGGUUACUCACGUGUUACUCACCCGUUCGCCACUAAUCCACCCAGCAAGCUGGGCUUCAUCGUUCGACUUGCAUGUGUUAAGCACGCCGCCAGCGUUCGUCCUGUGCCAGGAUCGAAACUCU
rnacentral:rRNA from 1 species